rnacentral:tRNA from 1 species
AUUUUAAUAAUAUAACUUUAUUAUAUUUGACUUCCAAUCAAAAAAUCUAAUUCUAGUUAAAAUA